rnacentral:piRNA from 1 species
UGGUGGAUGAUGAAAUGUUGGGACCAUC